AUUGAACGCUGGCGGCAGGCCUAACACAUGCAAGUCGAACGAGUGGCGGACGGGUGAGUAAUGUCUGGGAAACUGCCCGAUGGAGGGGGAUAACUCCUGGAAACGGUAGCUAAUACCGCAUACCAUCGGAUGUGCCCAGAUGGGAUUAGCUAGUAGGUGGGGUAACGGCUCACCUAGGCGACGAUCCCUAGCUGGUCUGAGAGGAUGACCAGCCAAACUGAAACUGGGAAACGGUCCAGACUCCUACGGGAGGAAGAAGUGGGGAAAAUUACACAAUGGGCGCGAGCCUGAUGCAGACAUGCCGAGUGUAUGAAGAGGGCCUUCGGGUUGUAAAAUACUUUCAGCGGGGAGGCGUUACCCGCAGAAGAAGCACCGGCGAACUCCGUGCCAGCAGCCGCGGUAAUUC
rnacentral:rRNA from 1 species